AGCCCAACUUCAAUUUGCCCACAGCAGGGCUGGGAGACACAAGAUCCUGCCCUGGAGCUGAAAUGGGCACCAGGCUCUUCUUCUAUGUGGCCCUUUGUCUGCUGUGGGCAGGACACAGGGAUGCUGAAAUCACCCAGAGCCCAAGAUACAAGAUCACAGAGACAGGAAGGCAGGUGACACUGAAGUGUCACCAGACUUGGAACCACAACAAUAUGUUCUGGUAUCGACAAGACCUGGGACAUGGGCUGAGGCUGAUCCAUUACUCAUUUGGUGUUCCAGACACUGGCAAAGGAGAAGUCUCAGAUGGCUACAGUGUCUCUAGAUCAAAGACAGAGGAUUUCCCCCUCACUCUGGAGUCUGCUGCCUCCUCCCAGACAUCUGUAUAUUUCUGCGCCAGCAGUGAGUCCACAGUGCUGCACAGCUGCCUCCUCUCUGCACAUAAAGGGCAGUUAGAAUGA